rnacentral:lncRNA from 1 species
AAAAUUUGUUGUAUCCGAUUAUAAAGGUUUAAUUUGGUAAAAGCUUAGGUACCGUUUGAUUCGGGUAUAAGCAAGAACUAGCUAUUACAGGAAUAUGCACAAAUAUGGGGAUAAGAAAAAAAAUAUUUGGAUGAAAAUUGAGUUGUUCCCGCGGAUAAGAAAAAUAGCAUUUGGAUAGAUAAUAUGGAAUAAAAAAAAUAUUAGGUAGUUUUAUAUAGAAAAUAGAGGUGUUGGUGGGGAUAGUUAUAACUGGUUAUUAUAGGUAAUCGAGAACUACUGUUCUCGAAUAAAAAAUUAGUGUUUGGAUGUAAAGGGGAUAAGGGCCUAUCCCUAUCCCCUAACCAAACACUGCCUUACAGAGCUUACCUGAAAUAUGGACUAUUUUGAAACAGCUAUCUAAGAUAUCUUUUAAUUUGGACUAUUUUGAGACGGCUAGCCAAAACUUACAUAACUUACCUGAAAUAUGAAUUAUUUUGAAACAGCUAUCCACCGCACAUUUUAAUUUGUUUGAUUUAAGUAAUUAGUCAACGGUAUUUGACUUCAAAAUUUUAAGUUAACUAUUUAUUUUAAUCAAUUUAUAGUUACGAGAAUUGUAUAAAAUAUAUUUACUAAAUCAAUAAAAGAUGCUGUUGACUGACUCAAUCAAACAAAUUAAAAAGAUUGAGUUAGGUAGUAAAUCAAAAUUUUAAAAGAUUAGAUAGUCAUUUCAAAAUAGUCCCUAGUUCAUGUCACUUUUAUACACUUUUACCUUUUAAUUAUUA